AGUUUUUUUAUUUUAUCAAACAAGCUCAAAAACUUAAGAGUUAUUCAAAUUAGGCACAGCUUAUUUGAAACAGGAUACAACCUCAACCAUUGGGUAAACAAGGGCAAUAAAAAUAAAGUGGGCCCAAAAGCAGCCAUCUUCCAAAAAGCGUCAAAGCUUAAUUACUUAGGCCCAUAAUUUCCAAAACACUCUACAACCCCUCACCAAUACUGAACUAUUUUAUAUUUAUAUAAAAAUAAUUAUGCUAGAACUAGUAACAAGAAGCUGCCCUUCUCCUUAAUGUAAAUAUACACCAAAACGGACACUCCAUUGGUAGUUAACGUAGAUGUAAAACCAUAACAACACAACCAGAAAACCUUAUGGCCACCCAACGUUACCCUUACACCAGAACAUUACAGGAAAGAUUAAAAGAAAGAGAAGGAACUCGGCAAAUUUUAACCCCGCCUGUUUACCAAAAACAUCGCCUCUUGAUUAAACAUAAGAGGUCCAGCCUGCCCAGUGAUAAUAUUAAACGGCCGCGGUAUACUAACCGUGCGAAGGUAGCAUAAUCACUUGUUCUUUAAAUGGGGACUUGUAUCAACGGCAUCACGAGGGUUAUACUGUCUCCUCUCUCCAAUCAGUGAAACUGAUCCCCCCGUGAAGAAGCGGGGAUUUUACUAUAAGACGAGAAGACCCCAUGGAGCUUUAAACUCGACAUACACUAGGUAUUAAAACACCAAUUUAACCCAAAAACCUGUACGUCAGUUUUAGGCUGGGGGGACCACGGAGUAAAACUAAACCUCCACAACAAAUGGGCUAACACCCUAAUCUAAGAUUUAUAAAUCUAAGAAUCACCAAAAUGAUGUUUAAUGACCCGAUAAUUCGAUCAAUGAACCAAGUUACCCUGGGGAUAACAGCGCAAUCUACUUCAAGAGCCCUUAUCGACAAGUGGGUUUACGACCUCGAUGUUGGAUCAGGGUAUCCUAGUGGUGCAACCGCUACUA
rnacentral:rRNA from 1 species